CAUCCUGGGGCUGGAGCAGGUCCCAAGGGUAUGGCUGUUCGCCAUUUAAAGAGGUACGUGAGCUGGGUUUAGAACGUCGUGAGACAGUUCGGUCCCUAUCUGCCGUGGGUGUAGGAGACUUGCGAAGAGUUGCCCCUAGUACGAGAGGACCGGGGUGAACGUUCCACUGGUGGACCAGUUGUCGUGCCAACGGCAGUGCUGGGUAGCUAUGAACGGACAGGAUAACCGCUGAAGGCAUCUAAGCGGGAAGCCCCCUUCAAAACCAGGUCUCCCUUGAGGGCCGUGGAAGACCACCACGUCGAUAGGCCGGAGGUGUAAGCGCAGCAAUGCGUUCAGCUGACCGGUACUAAUUGCCCGACAGGCUUGAUUUGAUCCAG
rnacentral:rRNA from 1 species